AGUGAACGCUGGCGGUAGGCCUAACACAUGCAAGUCGAACGGCAGCACAGUAAGAGCUUGCUCUUACGGGUGGCGAGUGGCGGACGGGUGAGGAAUACAUCGGAAUCUACUUUUUCGUGGGGGAUAACGUAGGGAAACUUACGCUAAUACCGCAUACGACCUACGGGUGAAAGCAGGGGAUCUUCGGACCUUGCGCGAUUGAAUGAGCCGAUGUCGGAUUAGCUAGUUGGCGGGGUAAAGGCCCACCAAGGCGACGAUCCGUAGCUGGUCUGAGAGGGUGAUCAGCCACACUGGAACUGAGACACGGUCCAGACUCCUACGGGAGGCAGCAGUGGGGAAUAUUGGACAAUGGGCGCAAGCCGGAUCCAGCCAUACCGCGUGGGUGAAGAAGGCCUUCUGGUUGUAAAGCCCUUUUGUUGGGAAAGAAAGGCAGCAGGUUAAUACCCCGCUGUUCUGACGGUACCCAAAGAAUAAGCACCGGCUAACUUCGUG
rnacentral:rRNA from 1 species